UCUCUGGCAGUCUUUGGACUACAGUUCCCAUCAUCCCUAGCUAACAGGACCAGUGGUCAGGGAUGAUGGGAGCUGUAGUCCAAAAACAGCUGGAGA